CGUUAGCUCAGUUGGUAGAGCAGCGGACUUUUAAUCCGUUGGUCGAUGGUUCGAAUCCAUCACGG
rnacentral:tRNA from 1 species